rnacentral:rRNA from 1 species
ACGGGUGAGUAAUAUAUCGGAACGUGCCCUAGAGUGGGGGAUAACUAGUCGAAAGACUAGCUAAUACCGCAUACGAUCUAAGGAUGAAAGUGGGGGAUCGCAAGACCUCAUGCUCCUGGAGCGGCCGAUAUCUGAUUAGCUAGUUGGUGGGGUAAAAGCCUACCAAGGCGACGAUCAGUAGCUGGUCUGAGAGGACGACCAGCCACACUGGGACUGAGACACGGCCCAGACUCCUACGGGAGGCAGCAGUGGGGAAUUUUGGACAAUGGGGGCAACCCUGAUCCAGCAAUGCCGCGUGAGUGAAGAAGGCCUUCGGGUUGUAAAGCUCUUUUGUCAGGGAAGAAACGGUGGUAGCUAAUAUCUACUACUAAUGACGGUACCUGAAGAAUAAGCACCGGCUAACUACGUGCCAGCAGCCGCGGUAAUACGUAGGGUGCAAGCGUUAACCGGAAUUACUGGGCGUAAAGCGUGCGCAGGCGGUUGUGUAAGACAGAUGUGAAAUCCCCGGGCUCAACCUGGGAAUUGCAUUUGUGACUGCACGGCUAGAGUGUGUCAGAGGGGGGUAGAAUUCCACGUGUAGCA